rnacentral:misc_RNA from 1 species
AUAUAUCAACCUCUACAACUUUUGUUUGUUGAGUUGUUGGAUGUGGGGGCUCUUGCUGGCUUCUUUCUGAGGUCAGCUCCCCUGAAAUACAUUAGCGGAACAAUCCCCGUUCAUUGGUGUGAUAACUAUCUACGCUAUUGACGUGAAGUAGUUUGGCUUAUAACGGUCCAUUGACUUGGACAAAUUUUCAUUA